rnacentral:misc_RNA from 1 species
AAGUCGUAACAAGGUUUCCGUAGGUGAACCUGCGGAAGGAUCAUUAAAGAGAGAUUUAAAUUUUACACUGUGCAAGAUGUUGCAAUAAAUUUUAAAGAGUGGGAUAAAUAUAUAGACAACUUUUAGCAACGGAUCUCUAGGUUCUC